rnacentral:rRNA from 1 species
UACGUAGGGGGCUAGCGUUGUCCGGAAUCAUUGGGCGUAAAGCGCGUGUAGGCGGUUUGGUAAGUCCGCUGUGAAAGUCGGGGGCUCAACCCUCGAAUGCCGGUGGAUACUGUCGAACUAGAGUGCGGAAGAGGCGAGUGGAAUUCCUGGUGUAGCGGUGAAAUGCGCAGAUAUCAGGAAGAACACCCGUGGCGAAAGCGGCUCUCUGGAACGGUACUGACGCUGAGACGCGAAAGCGUGGGGAGCGAACAGG